CUCUGCAAAUCUGGAGAUCCCCUGUCUAGAAGUAAGGGGUGGGAUCGAAGUGGGGGGGAACCGCCCCUCUUUGCAGAGGCAGUACCCCGGAAGUCCUGAGAGGGACUCCUUGGCGCUGCCCCACCUUUCCUUGGACCCAUUCCGACUACACCCCCCACCAGCGGCCCAAGUCACCCUCACCGAUCAACCUGGAUAAUGCCCGACGGCUCAGGAAGCAGGGCGCCUCCCUCUCUCUCCCCCACCCCCCGCAGGCAGCGGCCCAGCGCAGCCCAGCCCUGCCCAGCUCAGUUCUUAUGCAGAGUUCUUAUCCUCAUUUCGGAGAAAAGAAAAACAAGAACUAAAAAGAAGUGACUUGUCUUCUGUCAUUCAGCUAAUCCCAGGACUUCUUACUCUCCAUCCUGGGUACUUUUUGCUGUACCACACCAGCUCUGCAAAGUUUGUUUGAUCCCCUCCCCCAAAUCUUUUGGCCAUAAAAGAGCUCUCUUAAGUGAAGAUAAGAGUGGACACUCUCUCCAACUUCCCCUGCCUCCUCCAAUGAGUUAUCAAACAGCCAUCAGCCUUUCUGAAGCACUUACACACCACACCUGAUUAAUAUCUAUCACUCCCUUAAGCUGGAGUUCCAUGGGCUCCCUUGAGAAAGGGAAACAUUUGUUUUUCCUCUUUUUGAUUUUUUUUUUUUAAUGGAUGCUUUUUCAUAAUGUCACUGACACUUCAAAAUGAUCCUCCAUGGAACUCUUCUCUUGUGACAGAUAAACAGUCAGGCAAACCAGAUCCAUUCAUUGGCUAUGUCUGGAAAUAUAUGCCUAGUUCUACACUGUUUGUUGCCCAGACUCUCUCUUCCUAGAAGUUGGAGGCAUAUUUUACCAUCAAAUCCUCUGGAGUUAUGAGUGACCAUUUUAAUUAGAAUUUAAAAGAUUUUUUUAGAAAAAUAAAUGUUUAAUAUAUUG